rnacentral:lncRNA from 1 species
UGUAAGUGGCUGUCAGGUUCGGGGUUUACACAAAGCUGUGGCUGUGUUCUAGUCAUACUUUACGUGAUUUAGAAAGACUGCAAACAUUGGAACUAGAAGCCUAUUGUUUUCUUAUUUUCUUGAGAAAUUGGUGAUGACCUCAAAGAUACUUUUUGCAAGCCAUGAUAGGAGACCUGGUGAAGAGCCACAGCAGGACAGUUUUUUCAUCCAGCCGGGAGAGCUCUUCACUUUGGAGUCUAGUGUUUGUUAUCCAGAAAUUCAAAGCGGCUACUAUUCUUCAGCUGGGUCCAAAGGUAGGAAGCUGGGCUCUUUCUGAGAUGGUCAUAUCCUUGGUGUGGCUGAACCCAUUUAACCCCAUUAUUUGAGAACAAAUGCGUUCAUACACAUGAGCGUGUUUAUAUGCACUGAGACGUUUCUCCCUUGGUUUUGCUUCUUGAGUGUCCAGCCAGAAUAAUAGGUUCUUAUAGUCAAAAAGCCUAUGCUUUUAAAUUUUGGGGGAGUGACCACGAAUAAAGCUUCCAAUUCCCUGGACCCU